GGGUUGUGAGGUUAAGCGACUAAGCGUACACGGUGGAUGCCCUGGCAGUCAGAGGCGAUGAAGGGCGUGCUAAUCUGCGAUAAGCGCCGGUAAGGUGAUAUGAACCGUUAUAACCGGCGAUACCCGAAUGGGGAAACCCAGUGUGAUUCGUCACACUAUCAUUAACUGAAUCCAUAGGUUAAUGAGGCGAACCGGGGGAACUGAAACAUCUAAGUACCCCGAGGAAAAGAAAUCAACCGAGAUUCCCCCAGUAGCGGCGAGCGAACGGGGAGGAGCCCAGAGCCUGAAUCAGCAUGUGUGUUAGUGGAAGCGUCUGGAAAGGCGCGCGAUACAGGGUGACAGCCCCGUACACAAAAGCGCAUGUGCUGUGAGCUCGAUGAGUAGGGCGGGACACGUGGUAUCCUGUCUGAAUAUGGGGGGACCAUCCUCCAAGGCUAAAUACUCCUGACUGACCGAUAGUGAACCAGUACCGUGAGGGAAAGGCGAAAAGAACCCCGGCGAGGGGAGUGAAAAAGAACCUGAAACCGUGUACGUACAAGCAGUGGGAGCACCCUUUGGGGUGUGACUGCGUACCUUUUGUAUAAUGGGUCAGCGACUUAUAUUCUGUAGCAAGGUUAACCGCAUAGGGGAGCCGUAGGGAAACCGAGUCUUAACCGGGCGUUAAGUUGCAGGGUAUAGACCCGAAACCCGGUGAUCUAGCCAUGGGCAGGUUGAAGGUUGGGUAACACUAACUGGAGGACCGAACCGACUAAUGUUGAAAAAUUAGCGGAUGACCUGUGGCUGGGGGUGAAAGGCCAAUCAAACCGGGAGAUAGCUGGUUCUCCCCGAAAGCUAUUUAGGUAGCGCCUCGUGAAUUCAUCUCCGGGGGUAGAGCACUGUUUCGGCUAGGGGGCCAUCCCGGCUUACCAACCCGAUGCAAACUGCGAAUACCGGAGAAUGUUAUCACGGGAGACACACGGCGGGUGCUAACGUCCGUCGUGAAGAGGGAAACAACCCAGACCGCCAGCUAAGGUCCCAAAGUCAUGGUUAAGUGGGAAACGAUGUGGGAAGGCCCAGACAGCCAGGAUGUUGGCUUAGAAGCAGCCAUCAUUUAAAGAAAGCGUAAUAGCUCACUGGUCGAGUCGGCCUGCGCGGAAGAUGUAACGGGGCUAAACCAUGCACCGAAGCUGCGGCAGCGACACUGUGUGUUGUUGGGUAGGGGAGCGUUCUGUAAGCCUGUGAAGGUGGCCUGUGAGGGUUGCUGGAGGUAUCAGAAGUGCGAAUGCUGACAUAAGUAACGAUAAAGCGGGUGAAAAGCCCGCUCGCCGGAAGACCAAGGGUUCCUGUCCAACGUUAAUCGGGGCAGGGUGAGUCGACCCCUAAGGCGAGGCCGAAAGGCGUAGUCGAUGGGAAACGGGUUAAUAUUCCCGUACUUGGUGUUACUGCGAAGGGGGGACGGAGAAGGCUAUGUUGGCCGGGCGACGGUUGUCCCGGUUUAAGCGUGUAGGUGUGUGUUCCAGGUAAAUCCGGUUCACUUUAACACUGAGGCGUGAUGACGAGGCACUACGGUGCUGAAGCAACAAAUGCCCUGCUUCCAGGAAAAGCCUCUAAGCAUCAGGUAACAUCAAAUCGUACCCCAAACCGACACAGGUGGUCAGGUAGAGAAUACCAAGGCGCUUGAGAGAACUCGGGUGAAGGAACUAGGCAAAAUGGUGCCGUAACUUCGGGAGAAGGCACGCUGACACGUAGGUGAAGUGAUUUACUCAUGGAGCUGAAGUCAGUCGAAGAUACCAGCUGGCUGCAACUGUUUAUUAAAAACACAGCACUGUGCAAACACGAAAGUGGACGUAUACGGUGUGACGCCUGCCCGGUGCCGGAAGGUUAAUUGAUGGGGUCAGCGCAAGCGAAGCUCCUGAUCGAAGCCCCGGUAAACGGCGGCCGUAACUAUAACGGUCCUAAGGUAGCGAAAUUCCUUGUCGGGUAAGUUCCGACCUGCACGAAUGGCGUAAUGAUGGCCGGCUGUCUCCACCCGAGACUCAGUGAAAUUGAACUCGCUGUGAAGAUGCAGUGUACCCGCGGCAAGACGGAAAGACCCCGUGAACCUUUACUAUAGCUUGACACUGAACAUUGAGCCUUGAUGUGUAGGAUAGGUGGGAGGCUUUGAAGCGUGGACGCCAGUCUGCGUGGAGCCAACCUUGAAAUACCACCCUUUAAUGUUUGAUGUUCUAACGUGGACCCGUAAUCCGGGUUGCGGACAGUGUCUGGUGGGUAGUUUGACUGGGGCGGUCUCCUCCUAAAGAGUAACGGAGGAGCACGAAGGUUGGCUAAUCCUGGUCGGACAUCAGGAGGUUAGUGCAAUGGCAUAAGCCAGCUUGACUGCGAGCGUGACGGCGCGAGCAGGUGCGAAAGCAGGUCAUAGUGAUCCGGUGGUUCUGAAUGGAAGGGCCAUCGCUCAACGGAUAAAAGGUACUCCGGGGAUAACAGGCUGAUACCGCCCAAGAGUUCAUAUCGACGGCGGUGUUUGGCACCUCGAUGUCGGCUCAUCACAUCCUGGGGCUGAAGUAGGUCCCAAGGGUAUGGCUGUUCGCCAUUUAAAGUGGUACGCGAGCUGGGUUUAGAACGUCGUGAGACAGUUCGGUCCCUAUCUGCCGUGGGCGCUGGAGAACUGAGGGGGGCUGCUCCUAGUACGAGAGGACCGGAGUGGACGCAUCACUGGUGUUCGGGUUGUCAUGCCAAUGGCACUGCCCGGUAGCUAAAUGCGGAAGAGAUAAGUGCUGAAAGCAUCUAAGCACGAAACUUGCCCCGAGAUGAGUUCUCCCUGAGACUUAGAGUCUCCUGAAGGAACGUUGAAGACGACGACGUUGAUAGGCCGGGUGUGUAAGCGCAGCGAUGCGUUGAGCUAACCGGUACUAAUGAACCGUGAGGCUUAACCUUACAACGCCGAAG
rnacentral:rRNA from 1 species